UAAUUUGUCCCACUUGCUUUUGGAUUAUUGGACCUCGGCUCCUGCUAGUACCGGGCAUUGCAGUCUGUAAAUAUUCUCUGCAAAAACUGCAAAUGCACAAUUCUUCAGCGUGUGUACGUGUGUGUGUGUGUAUUUCUGUACAUUGGAACAGAAUCGAUCCUUGUAAAUUUUGCUGUAUAUAAACUUUUUUUUUUU
rnacentral:sRNA from 1 species